UGCGCGUGAUCUGAUACCAGGUCAGAGCUGAACUGUAUAAAAGGCAGCAGCUUCUAACAGCACCUCAGUCCACCCGCAUCCCGAGUGACCUACUCCAGUGCCUGAACCAGCUUUACUCAGUUCCUGCCAAGAUGUCCUGCCAGCAGAGCCAGCAGUGCCAGCCCCCUCCCAAGUGCCCUCAAAAGUGCCAGGCCCCCAAGUGCCCCCCAAAGUGUCCCCCUAAGAGCCCUCAAGUCUCUUCCUGCUGCAGCUCUGGGGGUGGCGGCUGCUGCAGCUUGGGGGGUAGCGGCUGCUGCAGUUCCGGGGGUGGGGGCUGCUGCCUGAGCCACCACCGGCCCCGCAGGUCUCUCCGUCGCCGACACCAGAGCUCUGGCUGCUGCAGCAGUGGAGGCGGCGGUGGCUGCUGUGGCAGCAGUGGAGGCGGCGGUGGCUGCUGUGGCAGCAGUGGAGGUGGCGGCGGCUGCUGUGGCAGCAGUGGGGGCAGCGGUCGCAGCAGUGGCAGCUGUAGCAGCGGUGGCAGUAGCCAGCAGUCUGGAGGUUGCUGCUAACCUGGGCCCAGAGAAGCACCGAGAAGCAGCACUCGCUGAAGAUGUGCCAAGGCUGUGGCUUCUGUCCCCGCCCCCCCCAGGGCUUCUAAUGCUCUGGGGCUCCCUUGUCUGCGCAGGCUCACCCACUGGGCUGUCUUGCCCUUCCCUGGCCUGGGUCCCCUCUCACACACCCUUCUUUGGAGGAUGAAGUGUUGAAAUUAAGCCACGAAGCUGUGUUUCUCUGCAACAAUAAAGCUCCUUAUUCCUGA